UCAAGCGAAUACGGGUUCAUGGAGGAUGCCUAGGAGCUCUCUGGCGAGGAAGGCCGUGGUAAGCUGCGAAAAGCUUGGGGGAGGAGCACACAUCCUGAGAUCCCGAGGUAGCCGAAUGGGGUAACCUGGCGGGCGAGAAUGCCCGUCGGUCGUACGUGAAUAGAUAGCGUACGGCAGCGAGACCCAGGGAACUGAACCAUCUCAGUACCUGGAGGAAAAGAAAUCAACGUAGAGAUUCCCUUAGUAGCGGCGAGCGAAGGGGGAAGAGCCUAAACCUGGGGGCGUGUAGAAGCUGUGUGGUGUUGCGCGUCUGGGGGUUGGAAGGCUGUGCUGGGUCUGGCACACGACAGGCCGCGGGGUUAGAGAAAAGCUGUGGGUAGGGGAAACCUACUGGGAAGGGGUACCGGAGAAGGUGAAAGUCCUGUACCUGAAAUCUGCAGCUCCCUGUGGGCACAGUUCUUAAGUACGACGGGGCACGAGGAACCCUGUCGGAAGCGGGGUCGACCACGAUCCAAGGCUAAAUACGGGGGAGCUACCGAUAGAGGAAAGUACCGUGAGGGAACGGUGAAAAGAACCCCGGUGAGGGGAGUGAAAGAGAACCUGAAACCAUGGACCUACAAGCUGUCAGAGCCCUGCGAGGGGUGAUGGCGUGCCUUUUGUAGAAUGAGCCUGCGAGUUACGGUACGUAGCGAGGUUAAGGGAUAGGAGUCCUGGAGCCGAAGGGAAACCGAGUCUGAAGAGGGCGAAUAGUUGCGUGCCGUAGACCCGAAGCCGAGUGAUCUAGGUAUGGCCAGGCUGAAGCGUGGGUAAAACCACGUGGAGGGCCGAACUCUAAUCCGUUAAAAAGGGUAGGGAUGAGCUGUGCCUAGGAGUGAAAGGCUAAACAAACUCGGAGAUAGCUGGUACUCGUCGAAAUAGCUUUAGGGCUAGCCUCUUGUGGACUGUGUGGGAGGUAAAGCACUGGAUGGACUAGGGGGCUUCACCGUCUACCAAACCCAACCAAACUCUGAAUGCCUACACAGGGUGCAAGGGAGUCAGACUACGGGCGACAAGGUUCGUGGUCGAGAGGGAAACAGCCCAGAUCGUUGGCUAAGGUCUCGAAACACGGCUCAGUGGGAAAGGAAGUGCAACUGCGAGGACAGCCAGGAGGUUGGCUUAGAAGCAGCCAUACCUUGAAAGAGUGCGUAAUAGCUCACUGGUCGAGUAGUUGUGCGCCGAUAAUGUAACGGGGCUAAGCCGUGUACCGAAGCCACGGGUCAGAGGAGACUCUGGCGGUAGGCGAGCAUUCUGUGGGCCGAAGAAGGCAGGAUGGAAGUUCUGCUGGAGGGAGCAGAAGAGAGAAUGCAGGCAUGAGUAACGAAAAGAGGGGUGAGAGUCCCCUCCGCCGAAAACCCGAGGAUUCCUGGGUAAAGGUCGUCUUCCCAGGGUUAGUCGGCCCCUAAGGUGAGGCUGAAAAGCGUAGCUGAUGGGAAACGGGUUCAUAUUCCCGUACCUCUUACAAUUUCGAAGGGAUGACGCAUAGGGUGAAGCCCAGCCGGAGGAUGGAAGUUCCGGUCUAAGUUUCUGAGCCUGAGAGGGUGGUAGGGAAAUCCGCCACCUGAGGUGAGGGACGAAGGGGAGUGGAGCGAAGAGCGAAGCGAAGUGGGUGGAGCUGGGAUGCCGAGAAAGAAUCUCUAAGGAUAGGUUGUAAGGGACCGUACCGCAAACCGACACAGGUGGGUGGGAUGAAUAUUCUAAGGCGCUCGAGAGAACUCGCGUUAAGGAACUCGGCAACAUGCACACGUAACUUCGGGAGAAGUGUGGCCUUCUGGGGGGUAAAACUUCUGGGAGGUUGCAGAGAAAUGGCCCAAGCGACUGUUUAUCAAAAACACAGGUCUCUGCGAAAUCGUAAGAUGAGGUAUAGGGACUGACACCUGCCCGGUGCCGGAAGGUUAAGAGGAGGGGUUAGCCGUAAGGCGAAGCUCUGAAUUGAAGCCCCGGUAAACGGCGGCCGUAACUAUAACGGUCCUAAGGUAGCGAAAUUCCUUGUCGGGUAAGUUCCGACC
rnacentral:rRNA from 1 species